rnacentral:rRNA from 1 species
AUGAUCACCAACGUUUACGCCCCCUCAGACCAUGACUUGAUGGUGGAUUUUGUGGAGGACCUCCGGUCGGUCUCGUUGGGCAUCACUGGCCCCUGGCUAGUUCUUGGGGACUUUAAUCUCAUCCGCUUCCCUCACGAGAAGAAUAACAACCCCUUUGAUGCAUCUCGCGCUGCAAUGUUCAACUCCCUCAUUAACUCUCUUGCUCUGCACGAGCUCGCCCUGUCGGAUCGGCUUUUUACCUGGACGAGCAAGAGGGAUCUCCCCACUCUGGCAUGGUUGGAUUGCGUUUUAUUUGGCUCUUCUUGGGACGUCGCCUUCCCGGACUCAUGUUUGUCGUCUCGACCACAUCCUACCUCGACUCAGUGUUUGGCGGCGACAAGAAUUCCUUCCUCCUUGCGUAUUUUCUUUGAAAACGCUUGGCUCCGUGAUCCACAAUUUCUCCCCUCUACCCUCCCCUCCUGGUCGAGCACUGGGGCCGGUCGGUGCUCUGUCGGCUGCCUGGCGGCCCGCAAGAAAAGGUUCCGGGCUGCGGCCAAGGUUUGGAAAAGGCUCCACAAAUUUAUUCCUACUUUUGAUAAUAACUACAAAUUUGUGAUUGACUUGCUGGACUUCUGA